rnacentral:rRNA from 1 species
UACGUAGGUGGCAAGCGUUGUCCGGAUUUACUGGGCGUAAAGAGCGCGCAGGCGGCCAAGUCAGUCGAAUGUGAAAGCCCCCGGCUUAACUGGGGAGGGUCAUUCGAUACUGCUCGGCUCGAAGACAGGAGAGGGAAGCGGAAUUCCCGGUGUAGCAGUGAAAUGCGUAGAGAUCGGGAGGAACAUCAGUUGCGAAGGCGGCUCUCUGGACCAGCACUGACACUGAGGCACGAAAGCGUGGGGAGCAAACAGG